UACGGAGAGUUUGAUCCUGGCUCAGGAUGAACGCUGGCGGCGUGCUUAACACAUGCAAGUCGAACGAUGAAGCCCAGCUUGCUGGGUGGAUUAGUGGCGAACGGGUGAGUAACACGUGAGUAACCUGCCCUUAACUCUGGGAUAAGCCUGGGAAACUGGGUCUAAUACCGGAUAGGAGCGUCCACCGCAUGGUGGGUGUUGGAAAGAUUUAUCGGUGGGGGAUGGACUCGCGGCCUAUCAGUUUGUUGGUGAGGUGAUGGCUCACCAAGACGAUGACGGGUAGCCGGCCUGAGAGGGCGACCGGCCACACUGGGACUGAGACACGGCCCAGACUCCU
rnacentral:rRNA from 1 species